ACAAAAUCCUUCAGCACAAAUUUCUCGUGCUGAUAAAUGGUUGGCUGCACAUGAGCAUGUUGAUGGAACAGUUCUUGAGCGUGCUAAGAGUAAAUAUGACCAAGUGAAGGCUGCAGCUAAUAAAAGAAAAAGUCGAAGCUUGGGUGGAGAGGGAUGUACAGAGGCAUAUGAAGACAUUGAUAAUGAUGAGAUAGCGGAAGUAUUUGGAAAA